CAGAAAUGGACAUAACAGCCUAGAGGAAGACCUGGGAGAAGCCCUUGAAUAACCAUUGGUCCAUUGUGCAUCUAGGGUCCUUAACAAAAAGAUAAAAGACAAGUGUAUAAUAUGUUGGAAAAAAAUUUCCCAUUCCCACACAGAAACCUGGCUGUGAUAAAUACCAAGGAAUUCUAUGCCAGUUCACAGCAGUAAGAGUGCAGAAGUGCCAGGGUAUACAAGCAAAUCAUCUAAAGAAGACCAAGAAUCAGAUUGACAUCAAAUUUAUAACAAGAAUCAGAAUGAUAUCAGAUUUCUCAAUAGUAGCAAUGCAUACAAAAAGAUAAUGAAGAAAUAAUUUUAAAGAAGAUAAGUAACACUGAAUUUAU
rnacentral:lncRNA from 1 species